rnacentral:rRNA from 1 species
UAGGGAAUCUUCCACAAUGGACGCAAGUCUGAUGGAGCAACGCCGCGUGAGUGAAGAAGGGUUUCGGCUCGUAAAACUCUGUUGUUAAAGAAGAACAUAUCUGAGAGUAACUGUUCAGGUAUUGACGGUAUUUAACCAGAAAGUCACGGCUAACUACGUGUCAG